rnacentral:rRNA from 1 species
UACGUAGGUGGCAAGCGUUGUUCGGAAUGACUGGGCGUAAAGGGCGUGUAGGUGGACUGAUCAGUCGGGUGUGAAAUAUCCAGGCUCAACCUGGAGGGUGCAUCCGAUACGGUCAGUCUUGAGUGCAGGAGAGGGCAGUGGAAUUCCCAGUGUAGCGGUGAAAUGCGUAGAUAUUGGGAGGAACACCAAUGGCGAAGGCAGGUCUCUGGGCAGUUACUGACGCUGAGGAGCGAAAGCAUGGGUAGCGAACA